GACGAACGCUGGCGGCGUGCCUAAUACAUGCAAGUAGAACGCUGAAGGAGGAGCUUGCUCUUCUGGAUGAGUUGCGAACGGGUGAGUAACGCGUAGGUAACCUGCCUGGUAGCGGGGGAUAACUAUUGGAAACGAUAGCUAAUACCGCAUAACAGUAGAUGUUGCAUGACAUUUACUUAAAAGGUGCAAUUGCAUCACUACCAGAUGGACCUGCGUUGUAUUAGCUAGUUGGUGGGGUAACGGCUCACCAAGGCGACGAUACAUAGCCGACCUGAGAGGGGGAUCGGCCACACUGGGACUGAGACACGGCCCAGGCUCCUACGGGAGGCAGCAGUAGGGAAUCUUCGGCAAUAGACGGAAGUCUGACCGAGCAACGCCGCGUGAGUGAAGAAGGUUUUCGGAUCGUAAAGCUCGGUUGUAAGAGAAGAACGAGUGUGAGAGUGGAAAGUUCACACUGUGACGGUAUCUAACCAGAAAGGGACGGCUAACUACGUG
rnacentral:rRNA from 1 species